UACGUACUCCCUCCGUCCGGAAAUACUUGUCAUCAAAAUGAAUAAAAGGAGAUGUAUCUAGACGUAUUUUAGUUCUAGAUACAUCCCUUUUUAUCCAUUUUGAUGACAAGUAUUUUCGGACGGAGGGAGUAUAAG
rnacentral:pre_miRNA from 1 species